GUAGGAAACAUCAUUACUUAAGGUAUACAGUCUCUUAACUCAAUAAUAAUACAAUAAUAAAAUAGAUGCUUAAUAAAAUAAAAAAUAAAAUAAUAAUAUAAUAAAAUAAAAAUAGUAUAAAAUAAUAAUAUAAUAAAAUAAAAAUAUAAUAAUAUUAAAUAAAAAUUAAAUAAAUAAUAAAAUAAAAAUGAAGUAAUAAAAUGAAAAAAUAAUAAUAAAAAUACAAUAAUACUGAAAUAAAAAACAAAAAUAAUAUAAAUGAAAUACAAAAUCGAAUACUAUGAAAAUACAAAUGUUAAAUAGAUAAAAUAUAAUGAAUUAUAAAAUGAAGAAAAAUAAAUAAAUAAAUAUAAUACAACAAAAUCACCUAAUUGGCUUGGGACACACACCAAGGUUUGAUCAACCUUGGCUGGGCCUCUCCUCAGGUGAGGGUGUCUAGUGAGAAAUGGCCGAAACACCCUGUGAUCCUGGGGUCCACUACUGAGGAUGUGUCUUACAAUUUGGACUUAGUCCACAUAGAACCUUAUGGGAAACCAGAUGAGAUCUCAUCCCAAUACAGGAAAAAUAAAGAAAAAACAAAACAGAUACCCCAUAAACAGGGGAAAUAUAAAACAAUGUUACUGCAAUCCAAGAAGUAUACAAGGGAAUGACAUCUAAUAUAAGGAAAACAUGAAAAACAAAAGGAGAAACUAACCAAAAUAUCCCACAAACAGGGGAAAUAAUAAAACAAUGUUACUGCAAUCCAAGAUGUAAACAAGGGAAUGACAUCCAAUAUAAGAAAAACAUGAAAAACAGAAGAAGAAACCAACCGGAAUAUCCCAGAAACAGGGGAAAGAAUAAAACAAUGUUACUACAAUCCAAGAUGUAUACAAGGGAAUGACAUCCAACAUAAGAAAAACAUGAAAAACAAAAGAAGAAACCAACCGAAAUAUCCCAGAAACAGGGGAAAUAAUAAAACAAUGUUACUGCAAUCCAGGAUGUAUACAAGGGAAUGACAUCCAAUAUAAGAAAAACAUGAAAAACAGAAAAAAAAGCAAAAGAAGAAAUCAACCAAAAUAUCCCAUAAACAAGGGAAAUGCUGAAACACUGAUACUACAAUCCAAGAAGAAUACAAGGAAAUAACAUCCAAUAUAGGGUAAGUUAUGGAAAACAGACAUUAGCAAACAUAAUGAUAACUAGACACAAUAUAUAUUCUAUCUAUCUCUCUUCUCCCUUCCUUCCCUCAUGUAUAUCCAUGUAUAUGAGGGAGUGGGGGGAGGUAGAGUCACAAGCCCUGUCGGGCGGGGGAGAGUUCUCAGUCCUGACGGGCGGCCUCUCCUUACUCUACCUCUCUCAUCCUCCUUACUCUACCUCUCUCAUCCUCCUUACUCUAUCUCUCUCAGACAUCGGCAAGCAGAAUGAUAACUAGAGAAAAAUAGACUAAUCCUAAUUCUAGUUUAAAGGGGGUAGGAAGUGACCAGACUGUGGAUCCAAUUGAGACGGCCAGUGCACUGCCUUUGGCUCUCCUUAACUGCCCAGUCGUCGGACGAAGCAGGGAGUGUCAUCGAGAUAACACAAAUACCUAACCCUAGCCCGAGCCUCGAACCCACCAGCUCUCGGUUAUAUCAUGAAUCACUACCCUCACCAAUUCUUGCUUGCAGAAAUAUAUGACUAAAAAAUAAAAAAAUAAAUAAAAAAUAUACAUAUUUUUUAAACCAUCUCUCCUCUCUUCCUUCAUGAGAGUGAAGGAAUGGGGGAGGUGGGACGUCCAGCCCUGUCGGGUAGGGGAGUGUUCAGAAUCCUGUCGGAGGCCACACUCUAGUCCUACUUCCUCCGCCUCCUAACAUCUCUCUCUCCUUUUUUUCUCUCUCUCUCACUCUCUCUCUCUCCCUCCCUCUCCCUCUCUCACUGUCUACCUUGUGCUUUCUUAGCUAAUCCAGGGACAGUUUAAUUUUAUGAUAACCUUACCUUUAUAUCUGCCCUAAACCUAAGGUUAGUGGAUUCUAAAUCCUAACCCUAGCCCUUAGCUUAGCCCUAACCGUAAAGUUAGUGGAUCUGAAAACCUAAUCCUAACCCUAAAGUUAGUGGAAUGUAAAACCUAACCCUAACCCUAAUCCUAACCCUAAAAUUAGUGGAUUUUAAACCUAACCCUAACCCUAAUCCUAACCCUAAAAUUAGUGGAUUUUAAACCUAACCCUAACCCUAAUCCUAACCCUAAAAUUAGUGAAUUUUAAACCUAACCCUAACCCUAGCUUCUAACCCUAACCGUAAAGUUAGUAUAGUUUAAAAUCUAACCCUAACCCUUUAACCUAACCCUAGUUUUAAAAUCUAAGGCAAUACAUGCCUUAACCAGAAAAAAGGAAAACAAAAAAUAUUGCAAUACAUACCUCGACCAGCAGGGGGCAAAAUUCACCCAGUUAGUCACUAAAAGUUAAGGGUAACUAUAUAACUCUAAAAAUAAAUUAAAUACAUGAAUAAAAUGUAAUUGUGUAAUUUAUUGUAAUACAAUCCUUGACCAACAGGGGGCAAAAUUCACCCUGUGAGUCACUAAAAGCUAAGUGCACUAAUAUAACUCUAAAAAUAAAUUAAAUACAUGAACAAAAUGUAAUUAUGUAAUUUAUUGUAAUACACACCUUGACCAACAGGGGGCAAAAUCCACCCUGUUAGUCACUAAAAGUUAAGUGUAAUUAUAUAACUCUAAAAAUAAAUUAAAUACAUGAAUAAAAUGUAAUUGUGUAAUUUAUUGCAAUACAAUCAUUGACCAGCAGGGGGCAAACUUUACUCUGCAGGUCACUAAAAGCUAAGUGUAAUAAUAACCCUUUAAAAACAAAUGAAAUUCAUUAAUAAAAUGUAAUUGGGUAAUUUAUUGCAAUACAAUCAUUGACCAGCAGGGGGCAAACUUUACUCUGCAUGUCACUAAAAGCUAAGUGUAAUAAUAACCCUUUAAAAACAAAUGAAAUUCAUGAAUAAAAUGUAAUUUGGAAACGUAAUGUAAUACUCACCUUGACCAGCAGGGGGCAAAUUCGCCUUUAAAGGGCAUUGUAACCUAUUAAACUCAAUAAUUACAUCCUUUAACUUAAUAAUAACAUCCCAAGAGUUAGUUGACUUACAAAAUACUCAAUAACCCACCCAUUUGGAAUGAAAAAAUAGGAUAAAGUACAGUAAAAAGAGAUAAAAUAAGUGAAUUAAGUUAGAUUUGAAACAAAACCAUGAGUGAGAAGGGUUGCAGGGAACUAUAGGACCCAUACACACCAAUGAUCUAUAUACCAGAUCUAUAGCUGUGCGGUGUAUGAAGCAUGGACUGGCCUACAGAGAGACAGAGAGGGACUUCCUUCAGGCUCAAUUAAGUGAGUACAAACUUUAUUCAAUAAUAUAAUUUUAAAUAUAAUUCUUAGAUUUUUUUUAAAACAAAAUACUACAUAAUAUUGAAGAAUUAACAUGGAUUAAAUUUACAAUACAAAUUAAAAAGCAUAUAUAUAAGAGAUAAGUAUUUUAUUAUUAAUCUUAAAAUAAAUUAUAACUCUGAAAAUCAAUUAAAUCCAUAAAAAGUACAUUAUUAAAGACAUAAUGCAAUAUAAAACUUGACCAGCAGAGGGCAGAAUUCACCCAGCAAUUCUUCUAAAAGGUAAGUCUAAUAAUGUAACUCAAAAAACAAUUUCAAUUCAUCAAUAAAAUCACAAUUUUUUUGGGGGUGCAAUACAUACCUCGACCAGCAGAGGGCAAACCUCGCCUGUAGGAAACAUCAUUACUUAAGGUAUACAGUCUCUUAACUCAAUAAUAAUACAAUAAUAAAAUAGAUGCUUAAUAAAAUAAAAAAUAAAAUAAUAAUAUAAUAAAAUAAAAAUAGUAUAAAAUAAUAAUAUAAUAAAAUAAAAAUAUAAUAAUAUUAAAUAAAAAUUAAAUAAAUAAUAAAAUAAAAAUGAAGUAAUAAAAUGAAAAAAUAAUAAUAAAAAUACAAUAAUACUGAAAUAAAAAACAAAAAUAAUAUAAAUGAAAUACAAAAUCGAAUACUAUGAAAAUACAAAUGUUAAAUAGAUAAAAUAUAAUGAAUUAUAAAAUGAAGAAAAAUAAAUAAAUAAAUAUAAUACAACAAAAUCACCUAAUUGGCUUGGGACACACACCAAGGUUUGAUCAACCUUGGCUGGGCCUCUCCUCAGGUGAGGGUGUCUAGUGAGAAAUGGCCGAAACACCCUGUGAUCCUGGGGUCCACUACUGAGGAUGUGUCUUACAAUUUGGACUUAGUCCACAUAGAACCUUAUGGGAAACCAGAUGA